UCCAGACUCCUACGGGAGGCAGCAGUGGGGAAUAUUGCACAAUGGGGGAAACCCUGAUGCAGCGACGCCGCGUGAGUGGAGAAGUAUCUCGGUAUGUAAAGCUCUAUCAGCAGGGAAGAAAAUGACGGUACCUGAGUAAGAAGCCCCGGCUAACUACGUGCCAGCAGCCGCGGUAAUACGUAGGGGGCAAGCGUUAUCCGGAUUUACUGGGUGUAAAGGGAGCGUAGACGGCAGUGCAAGUCUGGAGUGAAAGGCGGGGGCUCAACCCCCGGACUGCUCUGGAAACUGUACGGCUGGAGUGCAGGAGAGGGAAGUGGAAUUCCUAGUGUAGCGGUGAAAUGCGUAGAUAUUAGGAGGAACACCAGUGGCGAAGGCGGCUUACUGGACUGUAACUGACGUUGAGGCUCGAAAGCGUGGGGAGCAAACAGGAUUAGAUACCCCAGUACCU
rnacentral:rRNA from 1 species